rnacentral:misc_RNA from 1 species
ACCUUACUUUCACUUUCACUUGAUUCUAACAUGCUGCAAGGCAGCAAGUUGGUCAUCGUUUUGGAUGUUUGUUUCUCUAAAUCGGACGUAAACUUAUGAGGUAUUUAUUGAUAUUUGGGAUUCAAGAUGAUCACAGAAAACGAAUUUACAUGGGCCAAACCUAUGGAGCUUUUUGCGGAACAGAAAAUGGUUAAAAUAUGUGCACCAAUGGUCAGAUAUUCAAAAUUACCAUUUAGGACGUUAGUAAGGAAAUAUAACUGUGACCUGGCAUUCACUCCAAUGAUUAUAUCUAAUUCCUUCGUCCAUUCUGUCAAAGCAAGAGAUAGUGAAUUCACGACUUGCUCCACUGACAGACCACUCAUAGUUCAGUUUGCGGCUAACAAUGGCAACGAUUUGGCCGCAGCUGCUGAAAUAGUUUCUCCAUAUUCUGAUGGAGUGGAUUUAAACUGUGGAUGUCCCCAGAGAUGGGCCAUGGCAGAAGGAUAUGGUGCCUGUUUGAUAAAGAAACCAGAAUUGGUGCGAGAUAUGGUGAACCAAACUCGAGCUCGAGUCUGCAGUUCAGACUUCACUGUCUCAAUAAAAAUCAGGAUCCACAAUGAUCUCAGGGAAACUGUAGACCUCUGUCAAAAGGCGGAGCAUGCUGGGGUGUCGUGGAUCGCAGUUCAUGGCCGAACAAAGGACCAGCGAGCAGAACCAGUCAACAAGGAGGCCAUAAAGACAAUCAAAGAGAGUCUUAGCAUACCUGUGAUAGCCAAUGGUGACAUUAAGAGCUUACAAGAUGUGGAGGAAAUACAGGCUGUGACAAAAGUCGACGGUGUGAUGGCCGCCAGGGGAAUACUACAGAAUCCUGCCAUGUAUAGCGGUUUUGAGAACACCCCUUUACAGUGUGUUCAAGACUGGGUAAAAUCUUUCAACACUGUUCCUGUGAAGCUCAGAAAUGUUGCAUUCUUUGCAAGAUUCUUUUUUUUUCUGUCUUUAUCUUUCUAAUAGUCUAAUACUGUUUUGAGGGUGUGGCAAUAAGUUGUAAGAUCCUUUCUUAAAAAUGUAUUAGAGUUACUUCUAUACUGAGACACAAUUCCAAUAUUGUUUUCAGAUUGACAUUUCUAUGGCUUCAGGGAUGACCUACCCUAUAUUCCACCAACACCUGAUUUACAUGAUGGAGAGGAUAUUCUGUCGGGCCGAGAGGAGGGUGUUCAAUGUGUUAGCUAGUACGUCAGCCGUGCUGGACUACUUAGAGACUCAUUAUGGAAUAUCCAAUAAAUCUAGUUUUUAAUU